rnacentral:misc_RNA from 1 species
AAGUCGUAACAAGGUAACCGUAGGUGAACCUGCGGUUGGAUCAUUAAAAAAAUAAUCCAAUUUUUAAGGUUAUUUUUUUUUUUGAUUGUAAAAAAUAAUUUUUACAUGAAAAAAAGAAAAUCUCCUUAAUUACAAACACCUAUGUGAACAUUUUAAAUGUCUUUGGCAGUUUUUAUUAGUUUUAUUUUAUUUUUUUUUUGGUGUAAUUUAUUAUCCAAAAAAAGAAAAAAACAAAAAAGAUUUAAACUGCCAAAUGUAAUUAUUAACCCCAUUAUUUUUUUGAACUGAUUUCUUUUUUAUUCUUGAAUCUUUAAAAAUAUUUUAUUUUUGAAGUGAAAAGUCUCAAAUGAAAAAAACAACUUUUGACAACGGAUCUCUUGGUUCUC